GGCUCUUUCGGGGGUACUCGAGUGGCGAACGGGUGAGUACCACUGUGGGUGAUCUGCCCUGCACUUUGGGAUAAGCCUGGGAAACUGGGUCUAAUACCGAAUAUUCCUUGCUGGCCGCAUGGUCUGGUGGGGGAAAGCUUUUGCGGUGUGGGAUGAGCCCGCGGCCUAUCAGCUUGUUGGUGGGGUGAUGGCCUACCAAGGCGACGACGGGUAGCCGGCCUGAGAGGGUGUUCCCGGCCACACUGGGACUGAGGAUACGGCCCAGACUCCUACGGGAGGCAGCCAGUGGGGAAUAUUGCACAAUGGGCGCAAGCCUGAUGCAGCGACGCCGCGUGGGGGGAUGACGGCCCUUCGGGUUGUAAACCUCUUUCAGUACCGACGAAGCGCAAGUGACGGUAGGUACAGAAGAAGCACCGGACCAACUACGUGCCAGCAGCCGCGGUAAUACGUAGGGUGCGAGCGUUGUCCGGAAUUACUGGGCGUAAAGAGCUCGUAGGUGGUUUGUCGCGUUGUCCGUGAAAACUCACAGCUUAACUGUGGGCGUGCGGGCGAUACGGGCAGACUGGAGUACUGCAGGGGAGACUGGAAUUCCUGGUGUAGCGGUGGAAUGCGCAGAUAUCAGGAGGAACACCGGUGGCGAAGGCGGGUCUCUGGGCAGUAACUGACGCUGAGGAGCGAAAGCGUGGGGAGCGAACAGGAUUAGAUACCCUGGUAGUCCCACGCCGUAAACGGUGGGUACUAGGUGUGGGUUUCCUUCCUUGGGAUCCGUGCCGUAGCUAACGCAUUAAGUACCCCGCCUGGGGAGUACGGCCGCAAGGCUAAAACUCAAAGGAAUUGACGGGGGGCCCGCACAAGCGGCGGAGCAUGUGGAUUAAUUCGAUGCAACGCGAAGAACCUUACCUGGGUUUGACAUGCACAGGACGCGUCUAGAGAUAGGCGUUUCCCUUGGUGGUCCUGUGUGCAGGUGGUGCAUGGCUGUCGUCAGCUCGUGUCGUGAGAUGUUGGGUUAAGUCCCGCAACGAGCGCAACCCUUGUCUCAUGUUGCCAGCGCGUUAUGGCGGGGACUCGUGAGAGACUGCCGGGGUCAACUCGGAGGAAGGUGGGGAUGACGUCAAGUCAUCAUGCCCCUUAUGUCCAGGGCUUCACACAUGCUACAAUGGCCGGUACAAAGGGCUGCGAUGCCGUGAGGUGGAGCGAAUCCUUUCAAAGCCGGUCUCAGUUCGGAUCGGGGUCUGCAACUCGACCCCGUGAAGUCGGAGUCGCUAGUAAUCGCAGAUCAGCAACGCUGCGGUGAAUACGUUCCCGGGCCUUGUACACACCGCCCGUCAGCGCAUGAAAGUCGGUAACACCCGAAGCCGGUGGCCUA
rnacentral:rRNA from 1 species